CGGUUGCCUAUACUGCAAGUCGAGCGGACAGAAGGGAGCUUGCUCCCGGAUGUUAGCGGCGGACGGGUGAGUAACACGUGGGUAACCUGCCUGUAAGACUGGGAUAACUCCGGGAAACCGGAGCUAAUACCGGAUAGUUCCUUGAACCGCAUGGUUCAAGGAUGAAAGACGGUUUCGGCUGUCACUUACAGAUGGACCCGCGGCGCAUUAGCUAGUUGGUGGGGUAAUGGCUCACCAAGGCGACGAUGCGUAGCCGACCUGAGAGGGUGAUCGGCCACACUGGGACUGAGACACGGCCCAGACUCCUACGGGAGGCAGCAGUAGGGAAUCUUCCGCAAUGGACGAAAGUCUGACGGAGCAACGCCGCGUGAGUGAUGAAGGUUUUCGGAUCGUAAAGCUCUGUUGUUAGGGAAGAACAAGUGCGAGAGUAACUGCUCGCACCUUGACGGUACCUAACCAGAAAGCCACGGCUAACUACGUGCCAGCAGCCGCGGUAAUACGUAGGUGGCAAGCNGUUGUCCGNGAAUUAUUGGNGCGUAAAGGGNCUCGCAGGCNGGUUUCUUAAGUCCUGAUGUGNAAAGCCNCCCGGUCUCAUCCCGGGGGAGGGUC
rnacentral:rRNA from 2 species